CCAUAUUUAAUUUUAAAAAUAAAAUAAAAAAUCAGUGUAAUUUUACUCGGUCCAAAAAUUUUGUUUAAAAAUGCUUACUUUUAACUGAAAUAGAACACGUUAAGGACUUUCGUUAGCUCUUUGAUGCCCUUGUUGAUCUUGAAAAUCAUUGAUUCUCUAUGUCACCUUAAUUCUUGUUGUAAGGUCUGUAGCUGUUCUUUCAUCAUCUCCGUGUGGAUGUAGGGGGGGGGAGGGGCGUUUUUCAGCUGGCCGUGGGCGAUUCUUUUGAAGGGUUCUCUGACAGUUAUGCCUUCCACGUAGGCCAUUUUGUAAGUUUUUUUUUCAGGAAGGCUGGCGAGUCGUUGCUGUGUGUUUCGUGUGACUUGUUUUCAUAGUUUACGCAUCUCGUGGUAUAUUCCUGUUCUUUGUGGUGUGGUGUGCCCCAUUUAUUGGAUUUGUUGUGAGGGAGGGGAUUCACAUCUUGGUGUGGUGUGGACUAACCGCCAGCAUUUGUGACACCUUUAUGAGUUGGGUACAUACAUUUGUACACAAGAACACCAUCUUGACUCGUUCGGGUAAGAUGCAUUCGAACGUUAGCAGCACCAGGGGGAGGUACUUUACGUGUGUGACAAUUUGGUUAGCUAGUGCUUCCAGAAAGUCUUUAGUUGUAUGUUAAAGUAUUUUAUAAUUUCAUCUAUAUAAUAGGUCUCCUCUCCUUGUCUAAAGUAAAAGGGCUUUUAUCUCGCUUUUUUAGUUCUUUUAAGACCGUUUCAGCGGAUUUGGACAUAGCUUUACUCUGUUUAUGUGGGUUGUAUUACAUCAGCAUCUUUAAGCCACAAAACCCUAUCUGCCUUGGUGGUUAAAGUGUGAUUGUGGGUUAUGACUACAAAAAUUGUUUGAAAACCUUAGACCAUUCGGAAAAAAAGAUCGUGUUACCGGGAUGCAUUUUUGGCAUCCGAGCUACCACUCGGUUCAUCGGAAAAAACAAUAGCCGGAUUAUUUAUCAAUGCCCGAGCUACAGCUAUACGUUGGAGUUCUCCCCCAGACACAUCGGCUGGAAAACGAUGAUUCAGGUGGUGCAACCCAAGUAAAGUCAAUAUUUCACCUGCUUUUUGGUCUACUUCCUUUUUAUGGAAAUUGCCCAGAUAACAAGGCAGACAAACAUUUUCAAAAAGGGUAAAUUCUGGCAACAAGUUAUGAAAUUGAAAUACAAAACCUAUUUUCCUAAAUUUAGCCAACGCCUACCUUUUAGCUGGGUUACCUCUAUACCUUCAUAUACUAUGGAGCCACUAUCUGGCUGAUCCAAGGUAGACAACAGAUAUAGCAACGUAGUCUUUCCAGCACCAGAAGGCCCUACAAUGGCGACCAUUUCUCCUGGUUGUAUGAUCAUACGUUUUACAUAUGUCCUUAGCAAUAGGCAUAUGGUUGAUUUUCAUACUGCAAUUGGGUACAUAAGGUCAAGAAAAGGUUUAUAUAUAGCACCAAGUUACUAAAUUUUGUCUAGAAUAGGCUUUAGGUUUAAGUUUACAUAAAAAAGCCAUUGAAGUAAAAAAUGAUGCAACGGCCUUAAUCAUCUAACCCUAUCUAUAACUGGCUGCUUAAGGCUUCUUUUAAUGCUUAAGUUUAUGCCUUUUAAUACAUGGAGAAACACCACUAGAUGAACCAUCUGAAUCAGUUUGCCUGCUUAUACAGGUACAUCUCAUAAAAUAGUUAUCAAUCCUAGAUCCAAUUCUUUUACAUCUAGCUGAUCCCCAUCUUUUAAAUGCAGAUUUCUUUUUAGGCACAACAGGUUCAACAUAGUGAACGCUGAUUUUUUAAGAUUCCUCUAUCGGCAUGUUUUGGCUUGAUAUAGACCCAUUGUGUAGGCACACUCCCAUCUGAACCCGCAUAAAAGGUAACCUGCUGCGUACAAUUUGCAUAAUAUAAAUAAACAGCAGGUACCUCCGAUACCCUCAACCCUGCACACCAAAUCCUGUUGAGCUGGACCGGAGAUAGAUAUGCUUCUAGGCCAUCCAUAACCUCCUGUUCAUCAGCAAACAUGGGUUUUGGAUUUGGACUUUCCACCAUAUAAUAAAAGAUCAAGUUAAGCGAAUCAUCUUUAAUCGAAGUUUGAUGCAUGAAAGCAAUAUGUAAAUGAUCCGCAGGAAACUUCGAUACCAAAGGCUUCCGCAUCAGAUUCCAUUCCUCCUGGUUUGGAAUCGGCAAUACAUCUUGUUCUAUGCUACCUGUAAACACCUUCAUUUUUUCAAAAAACACUACCUUUCCACCAACCAUCUCAGCUGAUAAAGACAUAUAGGCCGAUGAUUAUAGGGAAUUUCUAGGGGAAGGCUACUGCUUGUAUAAUUAAACAAUGGAUGCUCACUUGUAAGAAAAGAAAAAAAUGAUCCCGGGUAAUUUUUUCAUACUUUCUUCCGUGAAUUGGCUUGUAUCUAUAAUAAGCUGAUUCAGAUCACCUUGCGCUAGACGGGCCAGUACAAUACUUUUUCUAGUAGCACGUGCUAGACCAAUCCCCCUUUUCAAUCUUGCAUACAGUUGCAUGGACGUUUCUACAUCUGUGAAAUCUACGAUAACAGCAUCUCCCAAUCUAUGGCUACUUGUGGAUGUUUUACUAUAAUGGCUAACAGGUAAAAGGUAGUAAAACAGGUAUAGGUAGGACGGUUUUAAUUUGCACUUGAUUUGUUGGAUCUGAAACAAGCACUGGUUUAUGCUGAGUACGCACACUGGAACCAGAAUCAGAACCCGAACCAUUCAUCCCGAACCAUUCAUACCAGAUCAUUUGGCACAGCUAAAUCUGAAUUUUCUAGAUUGAAUAUCGCAUCUUCGAAAACUUCGGAAAUUGUUGUUCAUAAUUCAACGCAAUAAAAGGUAAGUUGAUGUCAAAAACUGAAAAAGAAUGAAUCACAAUAGAACGAGGAUGCAGUUCAGGUCUAUCGCCUUUUCUAGCCAAUGCAUAAGCUCUUGCUCCUUUCACCUUAACAGCUAAAUAGAUUGGGGGUAUCUGCGCUAUAGUGACCAUAAUAGAAGCUGCUGCAACCUCUACCAUGCUUCUAUCAAUUGGGCUAUAGCUACAGUGGCUAUCAAAAGGCGUCUCUAAAUCCAUAGAGAAAGUGGUCUUAACCAGUACAAUAUGGUCGGUAUAUAUAGACCUUAUUGAGUUCCUGAUGGACGUGAUGGCUACUAAUUUAUUUAGUAGCCCUGUCGAUAAAAAGCAACAGUAAGCCUGAGGCCAAAGGAUAUAAUGUACCUACAUGACCUAUCUUUUUUAGCUUUAACAGAGAACGGACCUUUUAUACUACAUCAAAAGAAGUACAAUCCGGUGGCUUAUAGACCAUAAGAAUAGCAUCUGAGUAGGCCUCCUGAUGCAACCAGCUCAACGGGACUAAUUCUUUUGCGAUUGACCAUAGUUGGUUACCAUAUACCAUGAAUAUUGAGCAGAAAUUUCACUACCUGUAGUCGAUAAAGCAACGACGCAAUAUGCAGGUAGGUAGGCUAUUGUCAUAUUAUCCCUAUAGUUGAUAUCUAUUUGUUUAGAUUGGAUAAACAAAUCCAUUACAUCCAAAUGACCUUGUAAUAAGGCAUAAUGCAAAAGCGUAUACCAUUGCUGAUCAACAACAUCAAUCCGGGCUUAUAAAGAAGCGAUUUCAAUUAGUUUUACCAAUUUUGUAUACCCUUCCCUAGAAGCCAUAUGCAGCAGUGAACAUUUCAAAUAGUUUUCAUGUUCUUUAUAAAUCAGUUGCUCAUUAGGGUCACUCCUAGGAAAUAUUUGACAACAACUGCCACAUUGUUGAUUGGGUUGUGCAUCCAUUCUUUUAUAAACAGAUGAUGGAACGGCAGAACAAUCCUCUUGUACAUUGAAAGGUGGAGAAUUUAUUUUAGAAAUAGUUCUUACAAGAGGCCACCAAAAAAGGAUGGAACAAACCAGACGGGGAUUAUCUAACGGGAACAAAUUUUGCAAAUUACCCGUCCAGGAAACACUACAACCGGGGGGGGGGGGUUUACCCCCACGUUGCUCAAGUAGAAUUAGACAAACUCAUCACAAAAAACAAGUGAAAAAAAAGAGUAUACGUAUCCCAAAGGAUACCAACAUGCAUGUACACUGCUGGUGUUCCUCCAAAAUGGAUUAAGUAUGUUCAAAUAUUUUUUUUAAAUUUAUUUUUACAUUUUUGGUAUUCAUAUCUUAUUUUUAUUUUACGGAAUACAACAUCACCAUCAUAAAUUCGAUAAAGGACUACGAAGUCACAGUUGAUUAUAUGAAACUGUUUGAAACCCUCUAUCGUAGCGAAAAAGUUACUGGAUACAUUUUCCGCCAAAAGGAAGAAAUUCCAGUUGUUGCUGAGCAGCUACCUGUCAGUUCUUUCACAGCAACAAAUGGUGUUGAAUAUUCAAGUAGCGACGUACGCUACAAGAACCGACCAAUGGAGGGAUAUGUAGUGUUUUUUUAAGGCGCCACAGACAAAAUGGAAAGUUUCAAGAAAUCGGCCGAGUCAGAAGAGGCAAGAAAAAAAGAAGAAGAGAAGAAAAAGAUGGAAAUCAAUGAUUUAAGGCAGCAGUUUGAUCUUUUGGGAGUUCAACAGUCCAAAAUCAAAAGUGAGAUGGCGAUACUUCAAGAAGAGAAGAUGAAAUCUGUUGCGUUGUCCAAAUUGAAUUAGACAAGAUCAUCAAGAAAAAAUUCUGGGUUAAAAAAGAGUAUACUUAUCCUAAGAGAAAUGAGUAUGCUUGUACAUUGCUGGUGUAUUUA